GAUGAACGCUGGCGGCGUGCCUAAUACAUGCAAGUCGAGCGAACAGACGAGGAGUUUGCUCCUCUGACGUUAGCGGCGGACGGGUGAGUAACACGUGGAUAACCUACCUAUAAGACUGGGAUAACUUCGGGAAACCGGAGCUAAUACCGGAUAAUAUAUUGAACCGCAUGGUUCAGUAGUGAAAGACGGUUUUGCUGUCACUUAUAGAUGGAUCCGCGCCGCAUUAGCUAGUUGGUAAGGUAACGGCUUAACAAGGCAGCGAUGCGUAGACGACCUGAGAGAGUGAUCGGCCACACUGGAGGUGAGACAGGGUCCAGACUCCUACGGGAGGCAGCAGUCGGGAAUCUUACGCAAUGGGCGAAAGCCUGACGGAGCAACGCCGCGUGAAUGAUGAAGGUCUUCGGAUCGUAAAACUCUGUUAUUAGGGGAGAACAAAUGUGUAAGUAACUAUGCACGUCUUGACGGUACCUAAUCAGAAAGCCACGGCUAACUACGUG
rnacentral:rRNA from 1 species